rnacentral:rRNA from 1 species
AUGCCGGAGUCAGAGACGCGCGCCGCCCGCCGCGAGAGGCAGCGGGCAAGGGAGAGGGACGCAGCGGAGUGCUCUGUCCGCCGCUGCCGUGGGUUACCGACGGAGCCCGACGAGGACGAGAGGCUCCUCGCGUGGGGUCUACCGCCGGUCGCUUACGACGGCGGAGACGGACGCUUGGUGGCUCCGCUGGAAGAACGUGAAGGCUCACCGGCUUGCCAUCGAGCAGUCGGAGGGCGAGGCCAAGGAAAAGGCGACGGAGGCGGCUCAGCUAGCGAAGCUCAGGCGACCGCAGGACCGGGCCGUCCAACGCCUCAAGGGCCCCGUCAUCGUCUCCUCCUGCUCCUCGCCCGACGACCACGGCUCCUCGUCCGACGAUCCUCCACCAGCCGCCCGACGGCUAUAGCUGCACCGACGACAUGA